CAGAGCUCUGGGUGAUGUGGACAGUAGUGCCUGAAGAAGAGAGAAGACUGUAAGUCAGGAAGAACCUGAAUGCAGCCUCUGCGAUUACUUCACUGACCCUCAUGAAUGCAGGAAAUCAGGUUCAACACACCAGUAUCACAUCCCAGUGCUCCCAGUGCAGAACAGCUGUGAGAUCAAAUCUGACCAGAAGCUCUCCGUCAGUCUUUGAACCGGUCCCUCAGGUUGGUUUGGAAUUUUUUUCUAAACUUUUCCACUUGAGCGUUUUAUCUCCAAGCGUCACCUGAAUGCAG
rnacentral:lncRNA from 1 species